UACGAAGGGGGCUAGCGUUGCUCGGAAUCACUGGGCGUAAAGCGCACGUAGGCGGAUUGUUAAGUCAGGGGUGAAAUCCUGGAGCUCAACUCCAGAACUGCCUUUGAUACUGGCGAUCUCGAGUCCGGGAGAGGUGAGUGGAACUGCGAGUGUAGAGGUGAAAUUCGUAGAUAUGACAUAGAACACCCAUUGCGAAGGCAGCUAACUACGCGAUAAUUGACGCUGAUGCACGAAAGCGUGGGGAUCAAACAGG
rnacentral:rRNA from 1 species